UGGCGCGCUUUUCUUCACUCCCCAUUUCGCUUCAGCGCUAAAACCUAGCGUCUUGAAACACGCAGUUCCAAGGUCCUUGGUUCGGUGGCCGCCGCUCUCGCCGGAGAAGGUAUUUUCCAUCAUCGGUGGUGGAUUGUUGGGGUCUGCUGCUCUACCAAGAAGGCGGGGGACGAGCCGUACGUGCGACAGCAUUCGUGAAUUCAAGGCAAUGGCCCGUGGCUCCAUGUGGAAUGCCAUUUUUGGUUCAUCGAAGCUGCGCACCAAACGGCUCAAGACUUGGCAUGAUGUACUAGCGUUGGAUGCUGAGAAGCCUCCACGGAGAUGGGGAGGAUCUGUCCCAGGACGGCGAGUCAUUAGGCGAGACAGGGUGGCUGCUCGCUUGGAGAUCAUGCGAAAUUAUUUUGAUGAGCACCCAUUGUUUGAUGCAGCCACCUUUAGGCGGUGGCAUGAUGCAUCCUGCAUUUUUCGCAUAUCCUUGCUCUGAUAGUUCAGUACGCUGCAUAUCUAACACAUUUGUAUUUUAGGUUCCGAAUGAACAUUCGACUAUUCCGACGAAUUGUUAGAGAAAUUGAAGCCAAGAACCCUUACUUCCAGUACAAACCCAACGCUGUUGGUGCCAUGGGAUUUGAUUGCAUGCACAAGUCUGUUGUUGCGAUGCGUAUGCUUGCAUACGGCUGCCCUGCCGAUUCACUGGAUGAAAAAUUCUGCAUGACUGAGAGUACCGUCCUAGAGACUGUUAAAGAAUUUGCCGACACAAUUAUACAACUAUAUGAGGCCGAGUACUUGAGACCACCAAAUGCUGCAGAGCUUCAGUCCAUUCUUGCAGAGAACGAAGCAAGAGGUUUCUCAUGAAUGAUUGGGAGUAUAGACUGCAUGCACUGGGAGUGGUCAGCAUGCCCAACUGCACAUCACGGCAUCUACAGAGGCCACAAAGGAAAACCAACUGUUAUCCUAGAGGCUGUGGCAUCAAAAGAUCUCCGAAUAUGGCAUGCUUUCUUUGGACUGCCAGGGUCACACAAUGAUAUAAAUGUGUUGCAUCAAUCUCCUGUGUUCGAUGAUUUAGCCAAUGGAAGGGCACCCACGGUUCAAUUCAUGGUCAAUGGACAGCAAUAUACAAUGGGAUACUAUCUUGCAGAUAAGAUAUACCCGGACUGGUCAACCUUGGUGAAGACAAUUAGUGAGCCAAGAAACUUGAAGGAUUCAAACUUUGCGAAGGCUCAGGAGGCAGCUAGGAAAGAUGUGGAACGAACAUUUGGGGUGCUCAGAUCCAAAUUUCGGAUUAUUCAAAACCCAUCCAGGUUUUGGAGUCCUCAGGACAUCAAUGCUAUAAUGUACGCUUGUAUUAUUCUCCACAACAUGAUUGUGGAAGAUGAGAGGGAAAUGCCCACUGCCUUUUGAAUUGUGA